UACAGAGGUCUCAAGCGUUGUUCGGAUUCAUUGGGCGUAAAGGGUGCGUAGGCGGUCUUCUAAGUUUGAUGUGAAAUCCCGGGGCUCAACCCUGGAAUUGCAUUGAAUACUGGAGGACUAGAGUACCGGAGAGGAAACUGGAAUUUACGGUGUAGCAGUGAAAUGCGUAGAGAUCGUAAGGAAGACCAGUGGCGAAGGCGAGUUUCUGGACGGUAACUGACGCUGAGGCACGAAGGCCAGGGGAGCAAACGGG
rnacentral:rRNA from 1 species